UACGGAGGGUGCGAGCGUUGUUCGGAAUCACUGGGCGUAAAGGGCGUGUAGGCGGUCCGCUAAGUCGGAUGUGAAAUCCCUCGGCUCAACCGAGGACGUGCACCCGAAACUGGCGGGCUCGAGUAUGGAAGAGGGUCGCGGAAUUCCCGGUGUAGAGGUGAAAUUCGUAGAUAUCGGGAGGAACACCAGUGGCGAAGGCGGCGACCUGGGCCAAUACUGACGCUGAGGUGCGAAAGCGUGGGGAGCAAACAGG
rnacentral:rRNA from 1 species